rnacentral:rRNA from 1 species
GACGAACGCUGGCGGCGUGCUUAACACAUGCAAGUCGAACGAUGAAGCCGGAGCUUGCUCUGGUGAAUUAGUGGCGAACGGGUGAGUAACACGUGAGUAACCUGCCCUUGACUCUGGGAUAACUGCGGGAAACUGUAGCUAAUACCGGAUACGACCCUCGGAGGCAUCUCCUGGGGGUGGAAAGAAUUUCGGUCAAGGAUGGACUCGCGGCCUAUCAGCUAGUUGGUGAGGUAAAGGCUCACCAAGGCGACGACGGGUAGCCGGCCUGAGAGGGUGACCGGCCACGCUGGGACUGAGACACGGCCCAGACGCAUACGGGAGGCAGGAGUGGGGAAUAUUGCACAAUGUGCGCAAGCCUGAUGCAGCAACGCCGCGUGAGGGAUGACGGCCUUCGGGUUGUAAACCUCUUUUAGCAGGGAAGAAGCGAAAGUGACGGUACCUGCAGAAAAAGCACCGGCUAACUACGUGCCAGCAGCCGCCGUAA